rnacentral:tRNA from 1 species
ACUCCCGUGGCGCAAUUUGGUAGACGCACUAGGCCGAGAUCCUAGUUUUUUGCAGGUUCAAAUCCUGUCGGGAGUA